UACGUAGGUGGCAAGCGUUGUCCGGAUUUACUGGGCGAAAGAGCGCGCAGGCGGUCGUUCAAGUCGCGUGUGAAAGCCCCCGGCUCAACUGGGGAGGGUCACGCGAUACCGAUCGACUCGAAGGCAGGAGAGGGUAGUGGAAUUCCCGGUGUAGUGGUGAAAUGCGUAGAUAUCGGGAGGAACACCAGUGGCGAAGGCGACUACCUGGCCUGUUCUUGACGCUGAGGCGCGAAAGCGUGGGUAGCAAACAGG
rnacentral:rRNA from 1 species